rnacentral:rRNA from 1 species
GAUGAACGCUAGCGGCAGGCCUAAUACAUGCAAGUCGAACGGUGUCUUCGGACAUAGUGGCGCACGGGUGCGUAACACGUAUGCAACCUACCUUACAUUGGGGGAUAGCCUUUCGAAAGGGAGAUUAAUACCGCAUAAGACAGUAACUAGGCAUCUAGUAGCUGUUAAAGAUUUAUCGAUGUAAGCUGGGCAUGCGUCCAAUUAGCUAGUUGGUGAGGUAACGGCUCACCAAGGCAAUGAUUGGUAGGGGAACUGAGAGGUCAAUCCCCCACACUGGCACUGAGAUACGGGCCAGACUCCUACGGGAGGAAGCAGUAGGGAAUAUUGGGCAAUGGACGCAAGCCUGACCCAGCCAUGCCGCGUGCAGGAUGAAGGUGUUAUGCGUUGUAAACUGCUUUUAUACAGGAAGAAACGACUCUUGCGAGAGGCAUUGACGGUACUGUAUGAAUAAGCACCGGCUAACUCCGUGCCAGCCGCCGCCGUAACAC